UGUGUGUGCCCGUCACAGAUAUCCUGUGAGC
rnacentral:piRNA from 1 species